AAUUUUUUUAAUGUGACUUUGUUUUUUUUACAGUUUCUUUUAUUAUCCCUUAUAAACUUUGGCUGAAUAAACUUACAUUUCAUUCUUAUGUCCUUCUCACCUUUUGUCCCAUAGGCAAUAGUAAAACAUUUCCAACUUUUUGUUAAUUCAGUAGCCGAUAUGCCAUGCUUUAACACACAGGUGGUUAUCAUUGAGCCAGUGCAGGGUCUGCAUGCCUGGUGGGGCUGGGGGUAGCACACAGCUGUCUUCUGUUCUCCAAGGAAUGUUGGGGAGGUAGAAUACAGGAUAAUGGUCCCCAAAAGAUGUCUACACUCUGAUAUUUAGAACCUUUGAAUAUGUAAUGUCACAAAGCAAAAGGGAAUUAAGGUUACAGUUAGAAUUAAGGAUGGUAAUCAGCUAACUUCAAGAUAGAGAGUAGUCUGGAUUCUCCAGGUGUGCUCAACCGUCCUUUAAAGUGAAGAGAGAGGUGGAAGAGGUCAGAGUUGGUGAGAGAUUGCAACUACUUGCUUUGAAGAUGGUGGAAGGGAAGAUACAAGCCACAGAAUGCAGAGGCCUCUAGAUGCUGCAGAAGGUGCAAAAAUAAAAGCUGCUGGAACAUUCAAAAACCAUGAUAAGAACUCUUAGUGAACUUGGAAUAGAAGAGAACUCACCUAUGAAAGCCUGCUCUGACCAAGAACAUAUAAGAGAAGUUAUGUUAUAAGAGUUUUGAGUAUAACCCUCAAGAGGCCCUGUUUCUCACUUUCCGGAAUCUGACACACCCACGUGAAGUGGGCUGAAGAAGCCUGGGCUUGCUUCCCUGAGGAUGAGAAUGGCUCAGUGGUCAACCACCACCCAUUCUCAGACACACAAAGGAGGUGUCCCUUUGGCUGACAACAGUUGCGUGAAUUACACCAGAGAAGAAUUGUCCAGCUGAGCCCAGCUCAAGUUGCUGACCUCUAGACUCACGAGCAAAUGAAAUGAUUGUUGUUUGAAACCACAGUUUUGGUGUGGUUUGUUACCCAGCAGUAAAUAAUUGAUCCAGUAAAUUGUCCAUUACCCAUUUCAUUACUCCAUCCCUUAGAGUAUCUAUCCCUUCACAAGUAUGACACCGAAUACAGAAUGCAGUAUUUCCAUCUCUAAUUUGACUCAAUUAGAAUGGAUCAA